rnacentral:rRNA from 1 species
UACGGGGGGGGCAAGCGUUGUUCGGAAUCAUUGGGCGUAAAGGGUAGGUAGGUGGUCUCAUUUGUCUGAGGUGAAAGCCUUGAGCUUAACUCAAGAAGUGCCUCGGAAACGGUGAGACUGGAGUCCUGGAGAGGGUCGUGGAAUUCCCGGUGUAGCGGUGAAAUGCGCAGAUAUCAGGAGGAACACCAGCGGCGAAGGCGGCGCUCUGGGCCGGAACUGACGCUGAGGAGCGAAAGCGUGGGGAGCAAACAGG